GGCGCAUGCGCCUGGGAAAGCCUGCCCUCUACCGGCGCACGUGGGGGCGGAGCGCCACCAUCUUGAGAAGGUCGCCGGACGAGAUCCGCGGUGAAGAGCCGGUUCCAGAAACACGCAAUGAAGUUCCCACCUUGAGGCCUUUGAACGAAUCAUCCUCAUCCCAUCCUCAUUGUCCAAGGCUUUGUGUCAGUGCUCCUCCAGAGGGAAUUCUCCGUCCAGUACAGCUAACACUGAGGAACUGAACAAGUGCUCUACCAUCAAGCUAUACCCCCCAACCCCUCUGGAAUGUAAUGUGUAGCUGAAGCUAGCCUCAAUUUGCACAACCUUCCCUGUUUCAGCCUCCCAAGUGUUGUUGAAUUCCUCACCAUAAAGUUGCCGCCAUCACCUAAGUGCGGUGGUCCACGGCUGUGAUGUCAGAACUUGGGAGGGGAGGUUCGAUGACUGAAGGUUCAAGGCUAGACCAGAUAGUGAGAUUGUCUCACUAAAGAAGAAAAAAACAACCAUAAAACAAAACAAAAAAGAUCCUUCCAUGAUUACGAUUAUGUGUCCCGGACUAGUUUCUCUUGGGUGUGCACCCUUGAGUGGAAAUGCGCGGUCAUGUGUAUGCAUUAGUUACAUAACCUAGUUUUAGCAGAUAUUGCCAGUUUUCCAAAGUGGUAGGACCUGUUUACACGCCCACCAGCAGCAUAUGAAAGUUCCAGUUGUACCCUGGCAUAGUGGCGCGCGCCUGUAAUCCCAGCGCUUGGGAGGCUGAAGGAAGAGGACUGAUGAGAAGAGGCCAGCCUGGGCUACACAGUGAGACCUUGCCUCAGGAAAGAAAAAGGUCCCCAUCGUCACUGGGACAGGCGCCGCCAGUCUUUUUCCAUCUCAGCUGUAUGCAAUGACACUAUGGUUUUAGAAAGACUGUGUGGGCUCAGUGUAGAGACCUGACUCUCGGCAAGUAAGAAUGGGCUGGAGACAAGGUGCUGCCGGGCUGGCAGGAGGUUAGUCUUGUCAUCCAAGAAUGCUGGGACUGGCUAAUAAGAAGAGGGAGGCUAGGCAUCACAGUGCACCCUCUUCAUCCUGGCACUUGGGAGGCAGAGGUAGGGGGACCGCUGUGAGCGAGACUACAUAGUGAGUUCCAGGCCAUCCAGGGCUGUACAGUGAGACCCUGUCUCAAAACCAAGCAAGCAAAAAGAUGGGCGAGGACAAGUGAAAAGAGAUAGCUAGGGUAAGGUCUAGAUAAUUAUUUCAGAUGGGGUCCAGCUAUGCAGUUCUUAGACCUCUCUAUCCUGCCACCAUCAUCCAAGUGCUGGGAUUACAGGCAUGCACUGCCACACCCAGGUAAAUACUAGACUUUAUCAGUGUGUUUGCGUGGGUGUGUGCAUGCAGAAACCGCAGAAGGUGCGCAUAGGUCAGGGGACAAUCUGUGAUGUUCUCUCUCUCCUUCCACUGAUACAGCAGGUAUGGAAAUAGGCCAUCAGCAGGCUUACAGGGCAAGCUCUUUGCUCUGUCAGCCAUCUCACGGACCCCUAAAUUCUAGGAUGGGAACACAAGCAAAAACAAAGCAAAGCUGGGAGAAUAGAGGACUGCUUUCUGAUAUCAAGAUUCAGGGAGAGUUAGACAAGCUAAGAACUCACACAAGCCUAUGUGAAUGGGUCUGAACAGGAGACACUGUGCUACCUCGAGAAUUAACCCAGGCUCAGUGUGCCUCUGACUUGGCAAGACUGGUAGCUGCCGGCUGCAUGAAAAGUUUGUACUGCCUGCAGCAGACAGACCAGGGCUAGCAUAGUAGGCCUGCCUCAUCUAGCCCUAUAACUUGGACUUCAUGCUGGGCCUACUCAGCCUCCACCUCAUUCCUCGCAGGGUUAGAAGUGCGAUCACAUAGCAACGUGACCCAGAACAGGUGAGAACAGAAACAUCUCCUGAGUUCCAGACACCAGACACAGAUCUUGGGAGGUUGGC